CUCCACUAAAACCCUAACUAUCACAUAAAAGCAGCCCCUUUUUUUCCUUCUUUCCUCUGUUCGACACUUCCCUCCUCUUCUCUAGGGUUUCUUGACAGUUUUCAUCAUUAAGGCUCCAAGCAAAGGAAUUUUAGGGCAAUUUCAAGGCUUCUAAGCCGCGCAAGGUCAAGAUAUUAUACUAUUUGAAGAAUAGGCUAAUGUUUCUUCUUGAACAAGUUAUUAGGGUAUGUUGAUAGGGUAAUAUAGCAAAUGGAAGGUGGAAAUCACUAACUUAAUACAACAUUCAAGUUCACAAGUUGGUAAUUUAGUUGUAAGUUUUUAUCCAUGACAAAAGCAAAGUUUUUGAUGAUGAUAUGAUUAUCUUGACACUAAAUCGUUGAUUUUACACUUUGUUUUAUGGUUCCAGUUUGAUUAUUAUCUUUAGUUUUUUGGUUCUGGUUUGAUUAUUAUCUUUAGUUUUAUGGUUCCAGUUUGAUGUUUCAAAAAGAAUAGAUGGGAUACGAGCAUUUUUAAGUGUCAAAUUACUAUUCGUUCCAUUCGGAUAUGAGCAUUCUCCGUUUGCAAAUGGAGACUUCUAGCAACCUAUCGAUCUUCCAGAACAUUCGUUCCAGAGAGCUCAACGGAUUCAGAGAUAUGUGGUAAAAUGAUUGUGAGUUUGUAUGGAUUGUGGUUUAUGUAGUACGGAAAUGACUAUGUUUUGCGGAUGAUGGGUUUAGUUGAAUAGGAGCUUUUGAUUAUAGACUUGAGGAGGAUAUUAGUCCUCCCAUGGCGUUAUCGUUUUGUAAGAUGCUGUUGCUGAUGCAAGCAAAGCAAUGAAUUGGACCCCUCAAAUCCAAAGGCUUAUUUACGCAAAGGUUUCAGAUGGGGGGUUGGAACACACAGUGACAUGUUCGAGAUAUUAUUCCAUAUAUGGAGUUGUUGCAACUAUUUACUAUUGAUUGGCUUGACAUCACCGUCAUACAUUGGUUUGCCAUGUAUUUUUAUGAGUUGCACAAUUCUCCAUGUGCGUUCUUCAAUCUGCACCACAUCAAAGGUGAAUCAUGCAAUAAAAAUUCUGAAGGUGUUUAAUCACACAUCAUAGACAUGUUUACGUUCCAUACUGACAAAACAUUUUUUUCUUGCACCAUAUUUAGCAAAGUAAGUUAUGUUUUUCCACCAUAAUUACACAUACAUACUUAAUUAUUGUCUAUUUUUUUUUUGUAGUAAAUAUUGGACAUUAAUUAUCAUUUGUCCCUCAACUGAGAAAGACUAUAUUAUUGACUCUAUAAAUAGAGAAAAGGGCCAGCAUAGUUACCUUCUUACGUCUAUCAUUGAUGAAACUUUUGGGUUUCCAUUUCUUUGGGAAAUGGUGAAAUGUAAGCAACAAAAGAAUGGUUGGGAAUGUAGUUUCAUGAUAAUCAAGCACAUGCAUGAAUUUGUCAAUUCUAUUCGACAUGAUUUUCCUACUAAAGUAAGUGGUUUGUAUUAUAGAUUUUGUAGAUUACCUAAAUUAUCUAUUUUUCAAUUACAUAUUUUCUAUUUCUUUUUUUAGCUUUGGAACGAAAAAGGCUUUCUUCCGCAAAAAGAAAUCGACAAACUGAUCUUGAGACUUAACACCACAAUUUAUCAGCAGGGUGUUUCCAACGGGUCAGAUGCGUGUGUGACAAUAGGGAUAACUAAACAACUCACAACAUGUUUGGAGGAGACAAUAUGUAAGAAAUCAAAUCUUUUCUUUCUUAUUUUGUUAUGGAUCACCGAAUCUCAAUAGAUGUGAUCUUGAUUAAUUUUUACUUUUACUUUUGUCAAUCAGUGGGGGUAAUGAAAACCAAGAAGAUAGCAAGUCAAAGUUGGAGUUCCACUGUUGGAGUUGAGAACCUUUUUCAUUUCGCGUUUGAACUUUUGGUUGCAAUUUCGUUUCUAUAGGAGUUUUAGUUUUUUUCAUUUUGUGUUUGAACUUUUGGUGGCAAGUUCUUUUUCUGUAGGAAGUCUUUUCAUUUCGUGUUAAGUGAGGAAUAGACUAUUGUCAUUUGGUAUCAAAGUAUUAUGUUUUCUUUGUUUAUUUUGAAUCCAUUGACUGUAUUUUUUUGUUAUAGAAAUAUAAAAAGUU